GCUUAACACAUGCAAGUCGAACGGAAACGAUGGAAGCUUGCUUCCAGGCGUCGAGUGGCGGACGGGUGAGUAACGCGUAGGAAUCUGCCAGAUAGUGGGGGAUAGCCCGGAGAAAUCCGGAUUAAUACCGCAUAAUCUCCAUGGAGUAAAGAGGGCCUCUAUUUAUAAGCUUUCGCUAUCUGAUGAGCCUGCGUAAGAUUAGCUAGUUGGUGGGGUAAUGGCCUACCAAGGCGACGAUCUUUAGCUGGUCUGAGAGGAUGAUCAGCCACACUGGGACUGAGACACGGCCCAGACUCCUACGGGAGGCAGCAGUGGGGAAUAUUGGACAAUGGGGGCAACCCUGAUCCAGCAAUACCGCGUGUGUGAAGAAGGCCUGAGGGUUGUAAAGCACUUUCAAUUGUGAAGAAAAGUUAAUAGUUAAUACCUAUUAGCCUUGACGUUAACUUUAGAAGAAGCACCGGCUAACUCCGUGCCAGCAGCCGCGGUAAUACGGAGGGUGCAAGCGUUAAUCGGAAUUACUGGGCGUAAAGCGUGCGUAGGCGGUUGACUAAGUCAGAUGUGAAAGCCCCGGGCUUAACCUGGGAACUGCAUUUGAAACUGGUCAACUAGAGUAUGGUAGAGGAAAGUGGAAUUUCUGGUGUAGCGGUGAAAUGCGUAGAUAUCAGAAGGAACAUCGAUGGCGAAGGCAGCUUUCUGGACCAAUACUGACGCUGAGGUACGAAAGCGUGGGUAGCAAACAGGAUUAGAUACCCUGGUAGUCCACGCCGUAAACGAUGAUAACUAGCCGUUGGGAGGGUUUACCUCUUAGUGGCGAAGCUAACGCGUUAAGUUAUCCGCCUGGGGAGUACGGCCGCAAGGCUAAAACUCAAAGGAAUUGACGGGGACCCGCACAAGCG
rnacentral:rRNA from 1 species